UACGUAGGGUGCGAGCGUUAAUCGGAAUUACUGGGCGUAAAGCGUGCGCAGGCGGUUCGUUGUGUCGGCGGUGAAAGCCCCGGGCUUAACCUGGGAAUGGCCGUCGAAACUGGCGAACUGGAGUGUGGCAGAGGGGGGUGGAAUUCCGCGUGUAGCAGUGAAAUGCGUAGAGAUGCGGAGGAACACCGAUGGCGAAGGCAGCCCCCCUGGGCUAACACUGACGCUCAUGCACGAAAGCGUGGGGAGCAAACAGG
rnacentral:rRNA from 1 species